CUGAUCUUGAUUAAAUAUUGACUGAAGCACAGUAUUUUUCAGUUUUUCUUUCUUUCAUUUUUUUCUUUUCUUUUAGUCUUCUUGUGUAAAAUGACUAAAAUGGAAAUAUUUUACAUUAUUGCACAAGUGUAAUUUGAAUCUGAUCGCUUACUAUUUCAGGAAGAAGGGGAAGGAAAGAGAAGUGAGGAAGUCAUAGGAUUUCAAACUCAAAAUUUUAACUAAAAUUCGUUUUUAAAAUAAUAUAUUUUGCUUUAUCUAACAAUGUUUCUUUCCCACAGUUGAACAAUUUAGAAGAAGAAAAAAAAUACAUAAGGUUUGCCAUACGAGUAAAGCUGUUUAGCACAAGAGAAAUUUGGGGAGCAAUAGCAGAUGAAAGAAAAACAUUAAAGGGGCAAAAAGAUUGUGUGGAGUAGAAAUAAAAUGAACU